CAAUAGCGUAUAUUAAAGUUGUUGCAGUUAAAAAGCUCGUAGUUGAAUUUCGGGUCCCCGCGCUCGGCGCUUCAUUGUGCCGUCGUGGUGUCCCUCCUCGCCGUAAGGCGUCCUUUACUGUGAAAAAAUUAGAGUGUUCAAAGCAGGCAAUCGCUUGAAUACAUUAGCAUGGAAUAAUAAGAUAGGAUCUUGUCUAUUUUGUUGGUUGCGGACAACGAUAAUGAUUAAUAGGGAUAGUUGGGGGUGUCCGUAUUGAGCUGUCAGAGGUGAAAUUCUUGGAUUUGCUCAAGACGAACUACUGCGAAAGCAUUCACCAAGGAUGUUCUCAUUAA
rnacentral:rRNA from 1 species